rnacentral:rRNA from 1 species
CCUACGGGUGGCAGCAGUAGGGAAUCUUCCACAAUGGGCGAAAGCCUGAUGGAGCAACGCCGCGUGGGUGAAGAAGGUCUUCGGAUCGUAAAACUCUGUUGUUAGAGAAGAAAGAGCGUGAGAGUAACUGUCCACGUUUCGACGGUAUCUAACCAGAAAGCCACGGCUAACUACGUGCCAGCAGCCGCGGUAAUACGUAGGUGGCAAGCGUUAUCCGGAUUUAUUGGGCGUAAAGGGAACGCAGGCGGUCUUUUAAGUCUGAUGUGAAAGCCUUCGGCUUAACCGGAGUAGUGCAUUGGAAACUGGGAGACUUGAGUGCAGAAGAGGAGAGUGGAACUCCAGGUGUAGCGGUGAAAUGCGUAGAUAUAUGGAAGAACACCAGUGGCGAAGGCGGGUCUCUGGUCUGUAACUGACGCUGAGGUUCGAAAGCGUGGGUAGCAAACAGGAUUAGAUACCCCUGUAGUC